rnacentral:rRNA from 1 species
UACGUAGGGUCCGAGCGUUGUCCGGAUUUAUUGGGCGUAAAGAGCUCGUAGGCGGUUCCGUAAGUCAGGUGUGAAACCUCCAGGCUCAACCUGGAGACGCCACUUGAUACUUCUAUGACUUGAGUUCGGUAGGGGUAAGCGGAAUUCCUGGUGUAGCGGUGAAAUGCGCAGAUAUCAGGAGGAACACCGAUGGCGAAGGCAGCUUACUGGGCCGAUACUGACGCUGAGGCGCGAAAGCUAGGGUAGCAAACGGG